rnacentral:rRNA from 1 species
UGGGGAAUAUUGGGCAAUGGGGGAAACCCUGACCCAGCAACGCCGCGUGAAGGAAGAAGGUCUUCGGAUUGUAAACUUCUUUGAUCAGGGACGAAGAAAUGACGGUACCUGAAGAACAAGCCACGGCUAACUACGUGCCAGCAGCCGCGGUAAUACGUAGGUGGCAAGCGUUAUCCGGAUUUACUGGGUGUAAAGGGCGUGUAGGCGGUUCUGCAAGUCAGAUGUGAAAUUCCCGGGCUUAACUCGGGCGCUGCAUCUGAAACUGCAGAACUUGAGUACUGGAGAGGAUAGUGGAAUUCCUAGUGUAGCGGUAAAAUGCGUAGAUAUUAGGAGGAACACCAGUGGCGAAGGCGGCUAUCUGGACAGUAACUGACGCUGAGGCGCGAAAGCGUGGGGAGCAAACAG